rnacentral:rRNA from 1 species
ACGGGAGGCAGCAGUGGGGAAUAUUGCACAAUGGGGGAAACCCUGAUGCAGCGACGCCGCGUGAGUGAAGAAGUAUCUCGGUAUGUAAAGCUCUAUCAGCAGGGAAGAAAAUGACGGUACCUGACUAAGAAGCCCCGGCUAACUACGUGCCAGCAGCCGCGGUAAUACGUAGGGGGCAAGCGUUAUCCGGAUUUAUUGGGUGUAAAGGGCGCGUAGACGGUAUAGUAAGUUAGUUGUGAAAUCCCUGGGCUCAACCUAGGAACUGCAGCUAAAACUGCUUAACUUGAGUACGGGAGAGGAAAGCGGAAUUCCUAGUGUAGCGGUGAAAUGCGUAGAUAUUAGGAGGAACACCAGUGGCGAAGGCGGCUUUCUGGACCGAAACUGACGUUGAGGCGCGAAAGUGUGGGGAGCAAACAGGAUUAGAUACCCUGGUA